rnacentral:rRNA from 1 species
UACAGAGACUGCAAGCGUUGUUCGGAUUCAUUGGGCGUAAAGGGUCCGUAGGCGGUCGGUUAAGUCGGAUGUGAAAUCUCACAGCCUAACUGUGAACGGUCAUUCGAAACUAAUCGGCUAGAGGGCUGGAGAGGAGACUGGAAUUGUCGGUGUAGCGGUGAAAUGCGUAGAGAUCGACAAGAACACCGGUGGCGAAGGCGGGUCUCUGGACCGUUCCUGACGCUGAGGGACGAAAGCUAGGGGAGCAAACGGG